UGGGGGAUCGUCUAACGGUAAGACACCAGACUCUGACUCUGGUUAUCGGGGUUCGAAUCCCUGUCCCCCAGCCA
rnacentral:tRNA from 2 species